CAAGGAAGGGGUUUGAAGCAUUAAUAAACGUGUAAGUCGGGGGGGGGGUGGAUGAAAUGGAUGUCAAAUAAAUAGAUGGCGGCCAUCUUGAUGUGUGACUGCAUUUGAUAAUGGCUCGGUAGGUGUAAUUUGAGGCUAAAUUGCGUUGAUAUUAUGAAAAAUUCGCAAUAUUACUUCAGUCGUGAAGUGUGCAUCUGAGAGUUAUAAGCAGAAGCGAAACUAUGAUUUAAAAUGACUACGACGAGAGGAGAAAAAGGAAUGAAAGAGGAUGGAUGAAAGAGGAAGAAAAUCAAGGCAGGAUUUGAAUGAAAGAGGAUGGAUGAAAGAGGAAGAAAAUCAAGGCAGGAUUUGAAUGAAAGAAGAUUAAACAGUAAGAAAAACAUGACUCGAAAAUCCCUAAUACCCAUGUUCAUGUAAGCUUUUAAAAUAGCACUUAAACCCUUCAAACUUGAUUAUUUUCAUUUAAAUAAAUGUUGUUUUUUAGGAAUGAAAGAUGAUGGA